AGAGGACUUCCAGAUUCAUGUUCUCGAUCAUGGAGUUCGACUACCCAUGCUCAGAAUUUGCUGAAUUCUUUGGCUGAUAUUCAAAGAAUGCAGAUUCACACUGCAUUGGUUCCAACCCGCACAUAGUAUUGGUACGUGUACUUAAACUUUGCCAACAAAUUUUGAUAGUGAUACCUUUCCCACCUUACGGAACAUCAAAAAAUUUGUUCAUUAUUAAUGUGCUCCAACUCAAUUAUUAUUAUUGGAGAUGUGUCUUUAUGUAUAUUCUUUAAUUUGAGCAUAUGCUUUGUAUAUUGAAAUCUGAACUUGAGAAAUCAGUUCAUCGGUCAAGAGGACUUUGAGUUUCAAUUUUUAUGGAUGCUGAAAAACCGAACUUGGCUUAUUUUUGUUUUUGAGAAUUUUUGUUCCAUAUUAACUACGCACCGAUUCUUAUAGGUAAAUAACUAGGGAAGGAUGCAAAAAAUGAUUUAGAAACAAAUAGAAUUUCAUCUGUUGCAGUUAAGAGCUCGUGGCUUGGUACCUCAGGUCCAUAGUUCGGGGGCUGUAUAGACUGUUUUGGGUCUCAUGGUUUUGCCACUUAAAAGACAUCUCACAUGGGAAGGAUAUAGUUCCUUCCUAUAUAAGUUAGAUUUUUCUUUGACUUCAACUAAUGUAGAACUAAUGAUGUUUUUUUUUUACACCAUAGCAUCAUCAAUAUAUGAUCACAAAACCUGAGGUUGCAUCUGGAAACAAAGUUGUUCAUAUAACGAGCACAACUUUCUUUCUUAUUUAGUUGUUUACUUGAGGGGCACUGAAGUAAAUAAACUUUCUUUUGAUCCUUUUAAAAUUUGUUAUUAAUUGCAUUUGACGCUGAACUGUUUGAGAUACAUGUAAUGGCUCAAGCUCUCAUGUCCAUAUGUGAUGACUUAGGCUGACUUGGUUAAAAAUUUUUGAUUCUGACACUGCCGCACGACUACAAUGUGCAACUGGCUUGAUAAAGUCACUUAAAGCUGUUUGUUUUUCUGUGAUUGUCACCCCAUAAUCCUGGUCUUUCUUCUAUUACCUUGCCCUUAAGUAACUUCCAAUUUUAGAAGAUAUCAGGUAUACAGUUUGAUUGGAGGCAAUGCAUAAAUUGUUUUUGGGAGUGUUCUAAUUUUCAUUUGAUUGUCAAAGCUAGUAAACCCCCCGAGUGGUCAGAAAUAAACGAAGACUUGGGAGCCAGUACUGAUUCAUGAUGGCCUUGCUUUUCCCAAAACAUUAGAAUUUUAAAGUUGUGGAUUCGGAAAACUAUCCUGUGUAGAGUAUAUCUAUUGAAUUGUAACCUCCUUUCCCAUGCCAAAAAAUAGAACCUUUUAGUAGACAGACUGCAGAUUUGAAAUACAGUCUCAUAAUCAUCAGUGGGAGCUUUCACUAGUUAAAGAGCUCUUUUUUGAUGCAAAAGAGUUAAAGAUAGCUCAAAAGAUGAUUUUUGUAUCUUUUUCCACUUAACUGUGAAAGAUAAAGUGGUUCGACGUGGAAUGACAUGGAUGAAACAAAGGAAUGACUCCAGUUUGAUGCAAAAAUGUGGAAGACUUCAUGGCUCAAGAUUCAUUGUGGUAAUGAUCAGACAUUCAACUUUCUUGGUCUUCAGGUUCUCCAUGGAUAUCCUUUAUCACCUUGCAGAUCUUAGGAAAAAUAUGAUUUAGAAACAGAACGCAAGAAAAGCAAGAAAGGAGCCAUGAGUAGUCUUCCCAAGUUUCAAAUGUAGAAUUAAAGAGAAUAAUAAAAAUGCUUAUCUAAUUGUUAUAUUUUGAUCCUUUGUUGCUUUCUUUGACAGUUAUGAGCAUGCAAACACCUUGAAGGAGAAUGAGGCGAGAAAUUUUGGUGAGCUUUUGCGAUGAUGCAAUCAAACUGUGAAAUAUUAGACUAAAAAAUUUAUUUAUUGAUUUUGGAUUAUAUAUUCAAUG